UCAAGUCAUCAUGGCCCUUAUGUCCAGGGCUACACACGUGCUACAAUGGUCGGUACAAAGUGAAGCGAAACCGCGAGGUUAGAGCGAAGCAGGUAAAGCCGGUCGUAGUUCGGAUUGAAGUCUGAAACCCGACUUCAUGAAGUUGGAAUCGCUAGUAAUCGCGCAUCAGCAUGGCCGCGGUCGAAUACGUUCCGGGCCUU
rnacentral:rRNA from 1 species